rnacentral:rRNA from 1 species
CCUACGGGAGGCUGCAGUGAGGAAUAUUGGUCAAUGGGCGGGAGCCUGAACCAGCCAAGCCGCGUGAGGGAAGGAGGUACAGCGUAUCGUAAACCUCUUUUUUCAGGGAACAAGGGCGUGGACUAGUCCCCGGAUGAGGGUACCUGAAGAAAAAGCAUCGGCUAACUCCGUGCCAGCAGCCGCGGUAAGACGGGGGAUGCGAGCGUUAUCCGGAUUUAUUGGGUUUAAAGGGUGCGCAGGCGGCCUGUGCAGUCAGCGGUAAAAGCCCGGGGCUCAACCCCGGCGAGCCGUUGAAACUGGCGGGCUGGAGUUGGAGAGAAGUACGCGGAAUGCGCGGUGUAGCGGUGGAAUGUGUAGAUAUCGCGCAGAACCCCGAUUGCGAAGGCAGCGUACCGGCUCCACACUGACGCUGAGGAACGAAAGCGUGGGUAUCGAACAGGAUUAGAUACCCUAGUAGUC